AAAUGCGAUAAGUAAUGUGAAUUGCAGAAUUCAGUGAAUCAUCGAAUCUUUGAACGCAUCUUGCGCUCCUUGGUAUUCCGAGGAGCAUGCCUGUUUGAGUGUCAUUA
rnacentral:rRNA from 1 species